rnacentral:rRNA from 1 species
UACGUAGGGUGCAAGCGUUGUCCGGAAUUAUUGGGCGUAAAGAGCUCGUAGGCGGUUUGUCGCGUCGACUGUGAAAACCCGAGGCUUAACCUCGGGCCUGCAGUCGAUACGGGCAGACUAGAGUUCGGUAGGGGAGACUGGAAUUCCUGGUGUAGCGGUGAAAUGCGCAGAUAUCAGGAGGAACACCAAUUGCGAAGGCAGCUCGGUGGGACGUUACUGACGCUGAGACGCGAAAGCGGGGGGAGCAAACAGG